UGGGGAAUAUUGCACAAUGGGCGAAAGCCUGAUGCAGCGACGCCGCGUGAGGGAUGACGGCCUUCGGGUUGUAAACCUCUUUCAGUAGGGACGAAGCGCAAGUGACGGUACCUACGGAAGAAGCACCGGCCAACUACGUGCCAGCAGCCGCGGUAAUACGUAGGGUGCGAGCGUUGUCCGGAUUUACUGGGCGUAAAGAGCCCGUAGGCGGUUUGUCACGUCGUCUGUGAAAACCCGAGGCUUAACCUCGGGCCUGCAGGCGAUACGGGCAGGCUUGAGUACUGUAGGGGAGACUGGAAUUCCUGGCGUAGCGGUGGAAUGCGCAGAUAUCAGGAGGAACACCGGUGGCGAAGGCGGGUCUCUGGGCAGUAACUGACGCUGAGGAGCGAAAGCGUGGGUAGCGAACAGG
rnacentral:rRNA from 1 species